rnacentral:rRNA from 1 species
UACGAAGGGGGCUAGCGUUGCUCGGAAUUACUGGGCGUAAAGAGCGCGCAGGCGGUCGUUCAAGUCGCGUGUGAAAGCCCCCGGCUCAACUGGGGAGGGUCACGCGAUACUGAUCGACUCGAAGGCAGGAGAGGGUAGUGGAAUUCCCGGUGUAGUGGUGAAAUGCGUAGAUAUCGGGAGGAACACCAGUGGCGAAGGCGACUACCUGGCCUGUUUCUUGACGCUGAGGCGCGAAAGCUAGGGGAGCAAACGGG